AACGAACGCUGGCGGCAUGCUUAACACAUGCAAGUCGAACGAGAUCGUUCGGAUCUAGUGGCGCACGGGUGCGUAACGCGUGGGGAUCUACCAUAGGGUACGGAAUAACUCAGAGAAAUUUGUGCUAAUACCGUAUAAUGUCGCAAGACCAAAGAUUUAUCGCCCUUUGAUGAACCCGCGUAAGAUUAGCUAGUUGGUGUGGUAAAGGCUCACCAAGGCGACGAUCUUUAGCUGGUCUGAGAGGAUGAUCAGCCACACUGGGACUGAGACACGGCCCAG
rnacentral:rRNA from 1 species